AAAAGAGAGAGAGAGAGAGAGAGAGAGAGAGAGAAAGAAAAAAAAGGAGAGGAAGAAAGGAAAUCGCAGCCAUACGGGCUACGCUCCCCCGGCUGAACUGUAUCUGCGUUUUGAGCGGUGAGAGAGAGGGGAAGACGCGGCGUACGGCGACGCGCUCCUCCCUCCACCCUGCACCCUCAUCUGUCAGCCAUUAGUUAAUCAGGGCUUCCAAAGACGAGAGCACGGAGAGCUGGCACAACGCGUGGGACCAGAGGACAGCUUCACCUCUGAGAGCAAGAGGAGGGCAAGGACUCAGGGACCUCUGUUUCACUGAGCCACAGCUGGGCUGCUUCACUCAGCAGCACCCACUCAGGCGGCACCCUCAACAUGACCCCGCCCACUGCUUCACUGUGAACAGAUUUAAGUUUAAGACAUGAUCCACACUAAGGAGGACCAGGGAGUGUGGAGGGGCCGGCCCUCCCAGCCACCACUUCAGUUGCUCAAACUCAACUGGCAUAUGGGCAGGAUGAGGAAACGCAAGCUGAAUGAUGUCAGGACCAGGUGACCCCCGGGGUGACAGGUUUGGAGAAUGUUCUACCCUCAGGCCAAAGUCAAGUAUGUCAAUGUUGCGCAUGUGGAUUUCAUCUGAAGCAGCAGCAUGAUUAGUCCACAGACGCUCAACUGCGAUCCCCCUCCAUGGGAAAGCCUCUCCUGACAGGAAACGGCGUGUUUUUGUUAGCAACAAACAGGCAUAAAUUACUAAAAUGGUGCCUUGGUUGCCAAUUCAUCACACAGAGCCGUAUUGUUGUUCCUGCACACAUUUGACAUCGACAUGGCUUUAGGAUAAUUACCAUUACUUAAUGAUAUUUACAUUCUGGAGGGUUUAUGUUAAACUGUGUCUGCUAUUCUAAUUGUGUGCAAUAAAUGUGAUAAUUGUUUUGUGUCUUUUCUUUUUUACAAAUGACAAAAUGUGUUUCAAUGACCUGUACAUACAGCAAAAUAAAAAAUGAUCCAGGGAUGCGGAAGAAGGAAGGCAGCUAAUUUGAGAAAUCCUGGGAUGUUGUCAAUAAAGUGAAGCAAAGAUUGAAAUGCUAAAUUUGUAAAACUGUGUAAAUGUAUCAUUAAUAAAGCCAUUUCAUAUUUAGGUUUAAGAAAUGUUUCAUUUCAUGUAAGAGUUGGCUUGACUAGGAUGCCUUCAUGGUAUGUGUUGUGUUGACAUAUAUUUUCCAAGGAUUUAUGAGCUACUUCUGUAAACUGAUGUGACUGAUAUUGGUGCAAAAAUGAUGAAAAGUAAUUAGCAGAGAAUAAAAUAUUGGGGAUUGUACCAAGAGAAGAGGCCAUCACACGAGGUAAGACACCCACUGCAGCCAUGGCAAAUACAAAAGAGCAUCAGCUCCUACAAAUACUGACAUUUCAUCAGGAAUAUGUGUUCAGUCAUAAUUUUUUUAAAUGACUGGAAAUGUAAAAAUGAUAUUUGACUUUUUCUAUAAUAUAUGAACUUACUUGCAUGGAGGUAAAUUUAGAAUUGAUGUUUGCCAGUGAAUUAAGUUCAAUACAAUAUAGAAGUAAAUUGGAUAAACUCUAUUUCAUUGCAUUUGGUGUAUGAGAGGUUUCCUAUGGUCACAUUUCGUAACAUUGUCUAUUUUAGGUUUGCCUAUGUUUUAAUUCAAGUAUAUUUGAGUAUACUACUUUUUAACUGAUGCUUUUACUAAGCAAAUUUUCAUUGAAGUAUAACCUCUUCUAAUGUUAUAAUACAAUAGAAUAUUAAUUAAUAUCUAUAUUCAGGCAGGGCUUUUCUAUAAAUACUGGCAGAGCUUUGCUUUUGGAUCUCCUCAACUUAACAACCAUGCCAGCAUGAAUUAAUACCAAUUAUUGUUGUAGUAAAAGUAAUACUCUGGGUCUUCAGUCUUCUGCCAAACGCAUUACAGAGCGCUCCAUUAUUACAAUGGUAAACAGAUGUGCCACCCAGUGCCAAAGUUUGAUUUGGCCUGUGUAUGUUUUCUCCAGGGAGAUUGCAAAAUAAAAACGUCGAAGCACAUAAAAGGGAAAAGACCUGCAGUGUUUUUACACUACAUUAUACCAAAGUAUGUUAAGUACUACAGAUGCAACAGAAACAGGUCUAAGUGCAGCCCUCAGAGGUUGAGCUGUUGUGAAGAUUACUGAACAAGACAUCCAAACGGAGUGAAGUCAAUUGAGGGUCAAAUACCAAAAUACCACAUAAUGACCCAUGAGUCAAGUCCCUGACGAGUUGUUUACAGUAAAUCGCCUACACACCAUACACUGCCUAAGUAUACUGUACACAUAUUGCAUGCUCAUAUUGAACUAGUGGUGUACUAGAAAACUAUGAUAACUGCUGUACCUCAACAAAAACUGCUCCUCAAACAAGGCAAUAAACUUUAUAUUUCAACCCUCA